GCUGGCGGCAGGCCUAACACAUGCAAGUCGAGCGGCCGUAGCAAUACGGCAGCGGCAGACGGGAGAGUAACACGUGGGAACGCGCCCUUCGGUUCGGAAUAACUCAGGGAAACUUGGGCUAAUACCGGAUACGCCCUUACGGGGAAAGAUUUAUUGCCGAAGGAACGGCCCGCGUCCGAUUAGCUUGUUGGUGAGGUAACGGCUCACCAAGGCGACGAUCGGUAGCUGGUCUGAGAGGAUGACCAGCCUCACUGGGACUGAGACACGGCCCAGACUCCUACGGGAGGCAGCAGUGGGGAAUAUUGGACAAUGGGCGCAAGCCUGAUCCAGCCAUGCCGCGUGGGUGAUGAAGGCCCUAGGGUUGUAAAGCCCUUUCAGCGGGGAAGAUAAUGACGGUACCCGCAGAAGAAGCCCCGGCUAACUUCGUGCCAGCAGCCGCGGUAAUACGAAGGGGGCUAGCGUUGCUCGGAAUUACUGGGCGUAAAGCGCACGUAUGCGGAUUGUUAAGUCGGGGGUGAAAUCCUGGAGCUCAACUCCA
rnacentral:rRNA from 1 species